rnacentral:pre_miRNA from 1 species
CUACUACUCCCUCCGUUCCAAAUUACUCGUCGCAAAAAUGGAUGUAUCUAGAACUAAAAUACAUCUAUAUACAUCCAUUUCUGCGACGAGUAAUUCGGAACGGAGGGAGUAGAAC